GCUUACACAUGCAGUCGAACGCGAACGUCUUCUUCGGAAGGCUAGUAGAGUGGCGCACGGGUGAGUAACGCGUAGAUAACCUACCCUUAUGUCUGGGAUAACCCACCGAAAGGUGGACUAAUACCGGAUGUGCUUGUUUUUCAUAAGUUUUACAAGCAAAGGUGGCCUCUGAUUUAAGCUACUGCAUGAGGAGGGGUCUGCGUACCAUUAGCUUGUUGGUGGGGUAAUGGCCUACCAAGGCUUCGAUGGUUAGCGGGUCUGAGAGGAUGAUCCGUCACACUGGCACUGAAACACGGGCCAGACUCCUACGGGAGGCAGCAGUGAGGAAUAUUGCGCAAUGGGGGAAACCCUGACGCAGCGACGCCGCGUGAGUGAGGAAGGCUUUCGGGUCGUAAAGCUCUGUCAAGAGGGAAGAAAUGCAUAUUGGUUAAUAUCCAUUAUGUUUGACGGUACCUCUAAAGGAAGCACCGGCUAACUCCGUGCCAGCAGCCGCGGUAAUACGGAGGGUGCAAGCGUUGUUCGGAAUUACUGGGCGUAAUGGGCGCGCAGGCGGUUUGAUUAGUCAGAUGUGAAAGCCCACGGCUCAACCGUGGAAGUGCAUUUGGAACUGUCAGACUUGAGUAUCAGAGGGGAAAGUGGAAUUCCUGGUGUAGAGGUGAAAUUCGUAGAUAUCAGGAGGAAUACCGGUGGCGAAGGCGACUUUCUGGCUGAAUACUGACGCUGAGGCGCGAAAGCGUGGGGAGCAAACAGGAUUAGAUACCCUGGUAGUCCACGCCGUAAACGAUGUCAACUAGAUGUAGGGGUGUUGAUCCCCUCUGUGUCGCAGCUAACGCAUUAAGUUGACCGCCUGGGGAGUACGGUCGCAAGAUUAAAACUCAAAGAAAUUGACGGGGGCCCGCACAGCGGUGGAGUAUGUGGUUUAAUUCGAUGCAACGCGAAGAACCUUACCUG
rnacentral:rRNA from 1 species